UACGUAGGGUGCAAGCGUUGUCCGGAAUCAUUGGGCGUAAAGCGCGUGUAGGCGGCUCGGUAAGUCCGCUCUGAAAGCCCGGGGCUCAACCCCGGGAGGCGGGUGGAUACUGCUGAGCUCGAGUCCGGAAGAGGAGUGUGGAAUUCCUGGUGUAGCGGUGAAAUGCGCAGAUAUCAGGAGGAACACCAAUGGCGAAGGCAGCACUCUGGGACGGUACUGACGCUGAGACGCGAAAGCGUGGGGAGCAACAGG
rnacentral:rRNA from 1 species